rnacentral:rRNA from 1 species
GCUACGGGUGGCAGCAGUGAGGAAUAUUGGUCAAUGGGCGUAAGCCUGAACCAGCCAAGUCGCGUGAGGGAUGAAGGUUCUAUGUAUCGUAAACCUCUUUUAUAAGGGAAUAAAGGCCGGGACUAGUCCCCUGUUGUAGGUACCUUAUGAAUAAGGAUCGGCUAACUCCGUGCCAGCAGCCGCGGUAAUACGGAGGAUCCGAGCGUUAUCCGGAUUUAUUUGGUUUAAAGGGUGCGUAGGCGGCCUUGUAAGUCAGCGGUGAAAGGCUGGGGCUCAAACAUCGAAGAGCCGUUGAAAGUGGGAGGCUUGAGUAUGUUAGAGGUACGCGGAAUGCGUGGUGUAGCGGGGAAAUGCUUAGAUAUCGCGCAGAACCCCGAUUGCGAAGGCAGCGUGCC